rfam:Bombyx mori DNA, contig: Bm_scaf102_contig36215, strain: p50T/Dazao, build 2, whole genome shotgun sequence.
UUAAUUCACAUUUGUAUGGAGUUGGAACGUUUGCCUAUGUUUGCCUCUAGGGGCGCUGUUCCUACUGCAUACAAAUUUUAGUUA